rfam:Eimeria praecox, Houghton, WGS project CBTT01000000 data, contig: Eph_contig9879_2
AAUCAGGAUAAUAGUCCUGAGCCAGGACGCGGAUACUGCACAGUAACGUGAAUGAAAUCCUCGACGCAGGCGGGGGACCCGCGAAGCGUUGUCUUUGCUUUUUACCAACCUCUUUAGUAGCUUACCCUGCAACCAGGUUAUCUGGAGAUAGGGUUGACUGGUUGAUAAAGCUUCCUGGCUUGCCAGGAAUCUGGUGCGCUUCUGACGGACCUUGAAAAGAGGGGGGAAAGGUGUUAUUUACACCCCUGGCCGUACC